GUUCUUUCCCAUCCCAUAUGCUCUGACCUCUAACGCUGCCUACCCCAAAGCAGCAGGAAGAGAAAUGCCAGGUGCCUUCCUAGACAACCUGAUCCCUCUUUUGUCUCUGGCAUCCCAGGAAGCCAAACCCCUGAAAGAGCAGCCGAGCACGGGCUUCACGGAGAGCAAGUCUGCACGCAGGAAGCAAGCGUCGCGGCAGGGACCCUCAGAGCCCACGUGCAUGCCAGCUUCCUGCCAUCAGGCUUUCUGGGGUGCUCCCUGAAGUCUAGGGAAGGACCAAGAGAAUCCCGCAGGACUUCAACUUCAUCAGGGUUUCUCGAGAAUCUAA
rnacentral:lncRNA from 1 species